CCUACGGGCGGCUGCAGUGGGGAAUAUUGGACAAUGGGGGCAACCCUGAUCCAGCCAUGCCGCGUGUGUGAAGAAGGCCCUCGGGUUGUAAAGCACUUUCAGUGAGGAAGAACGCCUGGUGGUUAAUACCCAUCAGGAAAGACAUCACUCACAGAAGAAGCACCGGCUAACUCCGUGCCAGCAGCCGCGGUAAUACGGAGGGUGCGAGCGUUAAUCGGAAUUACUGGGCGUAAAGCGCGCGUAGGUGGCUUGAUAAGCCGGUUGUGAAAGCCCCGGGCUCAACCUGGGAACGGCAUCCGGAACUGUCAAGCUAGAGUGCAGGAGAGGAAGGUAGAAUUCCCGGUGUAGCGGUGAAAUGCGUAGAGAUCGGGAGGAAUACCAGUGGCGAAGGCGGCCUUCUGGACUGACACUGACACUGAGGUGCGAAAGCGUGGGUAGCAAACAGGAAUAGAUACCCUAGUAGUC
rnacentral:rRNA from 1 species